GGGUUGUGAGGUUAAGCGACUAAGCGUACACGGUGGAUGCCCUGGCAGUCAGAGGCGAUGAAGGACGUGCUAAUCUGCGAAAAGCGUCGGUAAGGUGAUAUGAACCGUUACAGCCGGCGAUGUCCGAAUGGGGAAACCCAGUGCAAUUCGUUGCACUAUCGUUAACUGAAUACAUAGGUUAACGAGGCGAACCGGGGGAACUGAAACAUCUAAGUACCCCGAGGAAAAGAAAUCAACCGAGAUUCCCCCAGUAGCGGCGAGCGAACGGGGAGCAGCCCAGAGUCUGAAUCAGCUUGUGUGUUAGUGGAACGGUCUGGAAAGUCCGACGGUACAGGGUGAUAGUCCCGUACACCAAAAUGCACAGGCUGUGAACUCGAAGAGUAGGGCGGGACACGUGGUAUCCUGUCUGAAUAUGGGGGGACCAUCCUCCAAGGCUAAAUACUCCUGACUGACCGAUAGUGAACCAGUACCGUGAGGGAAAGGCGAAAAGAACCCCGGCGAGGGGAGUGAAAAAGAACCUGAAACCGUGUACGUACAAGCAGUGGGAGCACCUUCGGGUGUGACUGCGUACCUUUUGUAUAAUGGGUCAGCGACUUAUAUUCUGUAGCAAGGUUAACCGUAUAGGGGAGCCGCAGGGAAACCGAGUCUUAACUGGGCGUUAAGUUGCAGGGUAUAGACCCGAAACCCGGUGAUCUAGCCAUGGGCAGGUUGAAGGUUGGGUAACACUAACUGGAGGACCGAACCGACUAAUGUUGAAAAAUUAGCGGAUGACUUGUGGCUGGGGGUGAAAGGCCAAUCAAACCGGGAGAUAGCUGGUUCUCCCCGAAAGCUAUUUAGGUAGCGCCUCGUGAACUCAUCUUCGGGGGUAGAGCACUGUUUCGGCUAGGGGGUCAUCCCGACUUACCAACCCGAUGCAAACUACGAAUACCGAAGAAUGUUAUCACGGGAGACACACGGCGGGUGCUAACGUCCGUCGUGAAGAGGGAAACAACCCAGACCGCCAGCUAAGGUCCCAAAGUCAUGGUUAAGUGGGAAACGAUGUGGGAAGGCACAGACAGCCAGGAUGUUGGCUUAGAAGCAGCCAUCAUUUAAAGAAAGCGUAAUAGCUCACUGGUCGAGUCGGCCUGCGCGGAAGAUGUAACGGGGCUAAACCAUGCACCGAAGCUGCGGCAGCGACACUAUGUGUUGUUGGGUAGGGGAGCGUUCUGUAAGCCUGCGAAGGUGACCUGUGAGGGUUGCUGGAGGUAUCAGAAGUGCGAAUGCUGACAUAAGUAACGAUAAAGCGGGUGAAAAGCCCGCUCGCCGGAAGACCAAGGGUUCCUGUCCAACGUUAAUCGGGGCAGGGUGAGUCGACCCCUAAGGCGAGGCCGAAAGGCGUAGUCGAUGGGAAACAGGUUAAUAUUCCUGUACUUGGUGUUACUGCGAAGGGGGGACGGAGAAGGCUAUGUUAGCCGGGCGACGGUUGUCCCGGUUUAAGCAUGUAGGCUGAUUAUCCAGGCAAAUCCGGAUAAUCAAGGCUGAGGUGUGAUGACGAGGCACUACGGUGCUGAAGUAACAAAUGCCCUGCUUCCAGGAAAAGCCUCUAAGCAUCAGGUAACAUCAAAUCGUACCCCAAACCGACACAGGUGGUCAGGUAGAGAAUACCAAGGCGCUUGAGAGAACUCGGGUGAAGGAACUAGGCAAAAUGGUGCCGUAACUUCGGGAGAAGGCACGCUGGUGUGUAGGUGAAGUCCCUGCGGAUGGAGCUGAGACCAGUCGAAGAUACCAGCUGGCUGCAACUGUUUAUUAAAAACACAGCACUGUGCAAACACGAAAGUGGACGUAUACGGUGUGACGCCUGCCCGGUGCCGGAAGGUUAAUUGAUGGGGUUAUCCGUAAGGAGAAGCUCUUGAUCGAAGCCCCGGUAAACGGCGGCCGUAACUAUAACGGUCCUAAGGUAGCGAAAUUCCUUGUCGGGUAAGUUCCGACCUGCACGAAUGGCGUAAUGAUGGCCAGGCUGUCUCCACCCGAGACUCAGUGAAAUUGAACUCGCUGUGAAGAUGCAGUGUACCCGCGGCAAGACGGAAAGACCCCGUGAACCUUUACUAUAGCUUGACACUGAACAUUGAGCCUUGAUGUGUAGGAUAGGUGGGAGGCUUUGAAGCGUGGACGCCAGUCUGCGUGGAGCCAACCUUGAAAUACCACCCUUUAAUGUUUGAUGUUCUAACGUUGGCCCCUGACCGGGGUUGCGGACAGUGUCUGGUGGGUAGUUUGACUGGGGCGGUCUCCUCCCAAAGCGUAACGGAGGAGCACGAAGGUUAGCUAAUCCUGGUCGGACAUCAGGAGGUUAGUGCAAUGGCAUAAGCUAGCUUGACUGCGAGCGUGACGGCGCGAGCAGGUGCGAAAGCAGGUCAUAGUGAUCCGGUGGUUCUGAAUGGAAGGGCCAUCGCUCAACGGAUAAAAGGUACUCCGGGGAUAACAGGCUGAUACCGCCCAAGAGUUCAUAUCGACGGCGGUGUUUGGCACCUCGAUGUCGGCUCAUCACAUCCUGGGGCUGAAGUAGGUCCCAAGGGUAUGGCUGUUCGCCAUUUAAAGUGGUACGCGAGCUGGGUUUAGAACGUCGUGAGACAGUUCGGUCCCUAUCUGCCGUGGGCGCUGGAGAAUUGAGGGGGGCUGCUCCUAGUACGAGAGGACCGGAGUGGACGCAUCACUGGUGUUCGGGUUGUCAUGCCAAUGGCACUGCCCGGUAGCUAAAUGCGGAAGAGAUAAGUGCUGAAAGCAUCUAAGCACGAAACUUGCCCCGAGAUGAGUUCUCCCUGAGACUUUAAGUCUCCUGAAGGAACGUUAAAGACGAUGACGUUGAUAGGCCGGGUGUGUAAGCGCAGCGAUGCGUUGAGCUAACCGGUACUAAUGAACCGUGAGGCUUAACCUUACAACGCCGAAG
rnacentral:rRNA from 1 species